UUCUUAAAGAAAAUUAUUUUAAGUAUCUUCUGCUCAAUGAAAUUAAAUAGCUGCGGAAGCACUAAGGUAGCAUAAUAAAUUGUCUUUUAAUUGAAGACUGGAAUGAAUGGAGUAAUGGGGAGAAUCUCUCUUGAAAUUAAUAGUUUGAAUUUAAAUUUUUAGUAAGAAUGCUAAAAUUAUUUUUAGGGACAAGAAGACCCUAUGAAGCUUUAUAAUAAAAAAAGUUGAAAAUUAUUAUUGUGUUGGGGCAACACUCUAAGAUUAAAGUUUAGAGAAAUUUUAUUUAUUUAUUGUUUUUUUUGAUCCAUAAUUUAUGAUUAUUAGAAUAAGUUACUCUAGGGAUAACAGCAUAAUUUAAAUUGGAAAGUUCAUAUUGAUAAUUUAGUUUAUGACCUCGAUGUUGAAUUAAUAAUACUUUUAGGUGAAGGAAUUUUAAAAGUUAGUCUGUUCGACUAUUAAAAUAUUACA
rnacentral:rRNA from 1 species